rnacentral:lncRNA from 1 species
CAAUCAGCAGCAAGGAAAACUGAAUAAGCUCUCAGAUUGUCUAUUUGCAAACCUCCUGCCAAAGAAACAGUUAUGGAAGAUAUUUGUGGUUUCUUCAAAAUUGUGGCAGUUUCCAUGAACAAUUGUUAGGCUCCAAAGAAAAAUCCGUGAAUGACUGAGACCACAAACUGACCCACAACUUCCCAGGAAUAUAUUGAAUACUUUUAUGGCCUUUGUGAUAACAUACAUUUUACUUUUAUAUGUAUUACAAUAUUAUGUAACUUGAUCAUCAAUUUUUAGUUUAAACAGUAUGUAAACACUCACCAACUAAUCAUCCAAUUAUGUCCUGAUAAUUACAUAGGCAUAAGAAGACCCAAUGGGUGGAAAACACAAGAAAUAAGAGUCUUUCUCAAUUGUUCAAUUUAUGGAAUGCAAUAUCUCAUGAAGAAUCAUGAAGAUAGCAAUGAGUUCUGGCCAGUGGACCUAAGCACCUGA